UUGAGCUCCCUGAUAGUCUUCAGUGGUCUCCUGUCUAAGCAAUCACCAGGCCCAAUGCAGCGUAGCUUCCAAAAUCAAACAUGACUGGGUGUGUUCAUGUACUCUCCUUAAGGAUUGUACUGAAGAUCAAGUGUAAAGGAGGACAGCUAUAUCUACCGUCUCGAGCUUCCUGGAGUAAAAGAUGGCAGAGGUCCUCCUAGUGAUCUUGCGUCUGGAAGGCACUCAACUCAGUCUGCCAUCUUGUGCUUCCAAGCAGGCAGGCCUGGAAAGUAGCAUGGGCUGACAGGACUUUACAUUGUCCUUCAGCCUUCCCUAGCAGAAAGUGUAUCUAUGUUGGAAUGCUCUUGCUG